AGACCAAUGUUUUUGAAGGCUGUAAUUAACACAUUUUCACUGAAGCUGUUUUCUCAGCAGCUGUUUAGUCAUUAACUCACAAACACAAUGUCUGAGUCCCAAAUGACACCAAAUUCCCUAUGUAGCGCACUACUUUUGACAUAGGGGCUCUUGUUAUUAAAAGUAGUGCACUGCAUAGGGAAUAUAGGGUGCAAUAAUGCUGAUGUUCUGUGGAGUAACCAAGAUAAUACAUGAUCUCAAACCACCCGUGGAGCAGCUGAUGGACUGUGAGUGGGAAGGUAACUGGAGCAGCUGAUGGACUGUGAGUGGGAAGGUAACUGGAGCAGCUGAUGGACUGUGAGUGGGAAGGUAACUGGAGCAGCUGAUGGACUGUGAGAGGGAAGGUAACUGGAGCAGCUGAUGGACUGUGAGAGGGAAGGUAACUGGAGCAGCUGAUGGACUGUGAGAGGGAAGGUAACUGGAGCAGCUGAUGGACUGUGAGAGGGAAGGUAACUGGAGCAGCUGAUGGACUGUGAGAGGGAAGGUAACUGGAGCAGCUGGAACGGGUCUCACGUUGGGAUAUUAUUAUAUAUUAUUACUAAUUGUUAUCUUUUGAUUGAUACGUUUAAUAUUGUCUGCGUUAAACUACACAGUGCACAACACACACGUUAGAGUAAGCAUGAACACACACA